rnacentral:rRNA from 1 species
AGCUCCAGUAGCGUAUAUUAAAGUUGUUGCAGUUAAAAAGCUCGUAGUUGGAUUUCUGGUAUGAUACGCCUGACCCGUGUUUUUUUAAAUGUGUGUGUCGGUGCGAGUCUGCCAUCUUUGUCAGUGAAUGCUGUUCUACUCUUUAUUGAGCAUGGACUUCACAAGCUGAAUCGAUUACUUUGAAAAAAUGAGAGUGUUUAAAGCAGGCGCAUGUUGUGGAUCUACUAGCAUGGAAUAAUAUCAUAGGACUUCGGUUCUAUUUUGUUGGUUUAUUGAAUCGAUGUAAUGAUUGAUAGGGAUAGUUGGGGGUGCUAGUAUUCAAUGGCCAGAGGUGAAAUUCUUGGAUUCAUUGAAGACUGCCUUCUGCGAAAGCAUUCACCAAGGAUAUCUUCU